UAACAAACGCGGCCAGGCCCCUAACAGGGUGAAAUGGUAAUAAGAUUACUCGGUUUAUCCGGAAGGGCGGUUCGUAGAUUGCCGCCAUCUUCGCUCUUCCGGUUUGCUAAG
rnacentral:ncRNA from 1 species